rnacentral:rRNA from 1 species
UACGUAGGGGGCAAGCGUUGUCCGGAAUCAUUGGGCGUAAAGAGCGUGUAGGUGGCUCGGUCAGCGUGCGGUGAAAGCUCGGGGCUCAACCCCGAGUCGGCCGUGCGAACUGCUGGGCUUGAGCACUGUAGAGGCAGGCGGAAUUCCGGGUGUAGCGGUGGAAUGCGUAGAGAUCCGGAAGAACACCGGUGGCGAAGGCGGCCUGCUGGGCAGUGGCUGACACUGAGGCGCGACAGCGUGGGGAGCAAACAGG